CUUAUACUUGAUUGUUUUGAUAAAGUGUAUUUAGAAUAAUAGAAUGGCUUUUCAUUUCAAUCAACAUCUUUUCUUGGGAAUUCUAAUUAUGGUUUUGGCUCUACCAUCAGAACUCGUGGUUGCAAAACUAUUCCCUACAGAAUCGGUAGGAGUGGAUGGUGGACCAAAUUGCAAUGGAUUGAAAUGCAGUUUAGGAACCGAAUUUUGUACAACUUGCUGCAAUGGACAAGGAUCUAAAGAGGGCAAAUGUGUUCCAAAAGGAGCAUUUUUUGUUUGUCAAUGUCAAUAGAGUUACAAUAUUGUAUCAAUUUUAAUGAGAAAACUAAAUAAAAUGCAUGUUUUAAAUAUUAA